GGCCGCCUGGCGAAAUGGCAUCGCGUCUGACUACGAUUCACGCGUUAUCAGGAGAUUGCAGGUUCGACCCCUGCGGUGGUCA